GCCACAUCACAUUGAAACACCAGUUCCCGUACGAUCACCGAAAUUAAGCAACAUUGAGCCUAGUCAUUAGACAGAUGGGUGACUGCUUGGGAAAAACAGGUGCU